rnacentral:rRNA from 1 species
CCCUUAGAUGUCCUGGGCCGCACGCGCGCUACACUGAGUGUCUGAGAUACGAGUCUGCCUGGUCCGGCAAGGUCUAGGUAAUCGCUAAAAGACACAUCAUGCUUGGGAUAGAUUAUUGCAAAUAUUAAUCUUGAACGAGGAAUUCCUAGUAAGCGCAAGUCAACAGCUUGCGUUGAUUACGUCCCUGCCCUUUGUACACACCGCCCGUCGCUGCUACUGAUUGGAUGUUUAAGCGAGGUUCUCGAACUGCUAGCGACUUAGCUUCGGUGAGGUCGCAGUGUGGGAAGUGAACCGAGCUUUGGUGUCUAGAGGAAGUAAAAGUCGUAACA